rnacentral:misc_RNA from 1 species
GAUGAAGAACGCAGCGAAAUGCGAUAAGUAAUGUGAAUUGCAGAAUUCAGUGAAUCAUCGAAUCUUUGAACGCACAUUGCGCCCGCCAGUAUUCUGGCGGGCAUGCCUGUUCGAGCGUCAUUACAACCCUCAGGCCCCCGGGCCUGGCGUUGGGGAUCGGCGGAGCCCCCCGUGGGCACACGCCGUCCCCCAAAUGCAGUGGCGGUCCCGCCGCAGCUUCCAUCGCGUAGUAGCUAACACCUCGCGACUGGAGAGCGGCGCGGCCACGCCGUAAAACGCCCAACUCUUCUGAAGUUGACCUCGAAUCAGGUAGGAAUACCCGCUGAACUUAAGCAUAUCAAUAAGCGGAGGA